AGGCUCUAAGCCUUCCCCUGUUCAAGCAACAAAAAUAGAAAACUAACAUCCAGUUGAAUAACUGGAUGCUUUUUCAUCAAUAUCUCUAAUAUGAUCUCACUGCCAACUCUUCUUGUCCACUCCCAGAUGUGGAUAUUAACCGUGGUUAUGCAGAUUUGUCAAGUGGAGGUACACAAAGAAGCACCAGUCCUGCAGAAACCAAUCUUCACCAACCAUCGAAGAAGACUCAGGGCCUGUUUGAAAGAAGUGGAAAAGGAAAAAGGGAGGGAGACCAUACGAGUUGUAAGAUUUCCCCUCUUUACCAAUUCUCCCAAAGAGACCCUUAGUGUUCUCAGACAACAACUGUUCCUGUUCCUUUCCAGAAAUUAACUUGCCAUAACAUCAUAGCUUCUUCCUAAACUUUCCUUUGCCAAAAGUCUUUGCAGAGUGCAUUGGAAUCCAUAUUUCAGAUGCUUAUUUAUGGAUAAAGGAUAACUGAGCUGCACAAUAUGCACAUGCUUGUAACACACAUUUCAAAUUCCUCUAAUAAUCACGUCUCCAAAUUGCUCAACAAAUAGUAGAAGAGAUCUCAACUCAGGGCACAAAGUAAACAUGUCAUCUGCGAUGAUACAAAAAACUCUCAAUAACCUAUAAUGCUUAUGUUCCACUCCUGCAAUGUUCUAAAGAGUUUAUUGGAUCCUUCACCA